UGAACUGGCCGGGCUUUAGGACCACGCGGAAACCUGCAUUAGUGGUCGGGCGAACAGCUUUCCUGGGAGGAAAGAAGCUGCUAAGGUGGCAUUUUUAGAGCGGGGUUUCCCGUUUGGGUCUGGAGCACAUGAAUUGGGCAUCUGAACCGUGUCCCGUUGCUUUAGGAACACAUGUCUUUACAGCCUUUGUCCCUAGUGAACUUUGUGACAGUAACCGUGAUCCAGCCUCGUCUGGGAGGGCUGAAGGAGGAGAGUGACCCUCUGCCGGAAAUCUCCCACGUCCUGAUCUCGGCUCACUCUAUAUUAUGGUGCUGAUCUCCCUCCUCCAGUCACAUGAAACGAUCGCAAAGUUAUCUCAUAGUCUGCACAAGAUGACAAGAAGACUUGGACGCAACGGUUUGGCAGCAAGGCUGCAAAUACUUUAUGUUCUGAUCAACGUAACCGAUGCCUUCGUAGCAUCGAACGAUGUAUGAUCUUCAAGCUCAUCAUGUUCAUGAGUUCCACUUCCGGCUGACUUGACUCUAUCCCCAUUAAACUGCUGACCAGUUGACUCCCUCCUUAGCUGUCAUGAGCAAAGCAGCCCAAAGUAAGGCAGAAAGAGCCAAGACCAGUGAUGUGCUGCUCAUCAUUCAGUUCCUCACUUCCUUAUGAGCAGAGGAACCCGACUCUGAUGGUCCCAAGCAGGGCCUGGACUGAUAUCAGAGGCUGCACUAGAUCCACUGUUCAGGUUGUCUCGGAUUCUCCAGCAUCUGCAGUUCCUACUAUCACUAGAUCCACUGUGUCAGGAUCCCCUGGGCGAUGGACAUCCCCCUUGACUGGACUGAAACCUGCUGACAUCAGUGUCAAGUUUCCUGGCUUUGUGUCUGCACUAAAUGGCGCAGCAAGACAGCAGUAAUUUGAGCUUGGUAUCUGUGGCUGAUGGGUCAAUACGCUAAAAGGCAAGGCAAUGCAAGGCAGGGAGACUGUGAGCAUUGAGAUAGGGUCAGAGUGAGUGAAUGCUACACCACUGAGUGAAAAGCCUGGAAUUGUAAUCCGGUCCAGUCCAUGAGUGCACAAUGUUCUUGCUGCAGCAUUACAGUGAUAGUUGUAGUUGCAGCCCAGGUGGAUUAGGGAUAUGACAUGAAGACUCAUAGUGGCUGGCACAUGUUGGGUGCCAGUGUCUAUGGUUCUGGGAUGUAUUUGGUUGGUACCUGUGGAGUAUUUUGGUGGUCACAGCCCAACAGGGGGGCCUUUUGCAGCAAGCAGCGAGUUGAAUUCACUAUAUACCUACUCCGGAUUCCAUGUCACGUUUUCCUGACAGCUGGUUUGUAUGGUGAGCUUGGUAAUGUAACCUGUUGGGCUGUUAACAAGGCAUUUAACAAGCAAUAAUGAGUGUCAAUGGGGAACUUGUUGGCAGGAAUCUCACGGUGCCCCUUGAGAAAAAAGUGUCCAAGAUGCAAUGAGAUGAUUUUGACAUUAAGAUGGGCUUCACUGAAUAUCUCAGCUGAUUCUACCAUUUUCUCACCGUAGUCCACACUGCUCAGAGCCUAAUAAGAUUCCACCCAAGGUUUUCACCUCUGUUACAUUAUUGUAAUGGCUCUUAUCAAAAUCAAAUAGUGAUAAAAUCCACCCCCCGCCCUUUCUUCCUUGACUUGUCUGCAACCUUUUACAAGAUUGAUCUUGCAAUUCCUCUCCAAACCUGGCAAUUGUUAUCUAGCUGAGUGGGACUGCUGUAACUCAGUUCAGCUCUUGUCAGUCCAAUUUUAGCAAAAGAAUCACAUGCAAUAGCUUUUCUUCCAGCUCUCAUACUGUUAUUUGUCAUGUUCCCGAAAGUUCUGUCAUCUUUUUUCUCCAUAUACUGACUGUUAGCAGCAUCUUCUGAGUACUCAGUGUCAGUUUCCACAUGGAUGCUGACAACAUCUCAAUUCUGUCUCGAUCUUGCACCACCUCUAAGUUUGUGAACUGCUUAACCAUCAUCCAGGAUACAAUGCCUACUGUCAUCGUUUUUGGUCCCCGCCACAAACAUACUCCCUCAGACCCAGCUCCAUUCUUUUUCCUGAUAAUUGUCUGAGUCUGAACCAACGGUUUGUAAACUUGAUGUCAUAGCAGGCAGGAUGAGGAGCUUCCAGCCAUAUACCUUCACCUCCACUAAGAUUGCAUAUAUGUACCUUUGUAAUAUUGGCCUGUUCUGCCCCUGCUACAGUUGUUCUGACACAAAACCCUCAGCCCUGCCUUUCUACCUCUUGAUCUUGGUUGGCUUCCUAUGUGAAAUCUUUUGUAACUCCAAGGUUAUCUGAAACUCUGUUGCCGUUGUCCUAACUCACGUCAAACUCUGUUUGUUCAUUACCCCUGUGUUCACCGAUCUACACUAACCAUUCAACAGCUUGAAAUUAAAAAUUCUCACCCUUGUUUUCAAAUUCCUCCAUGUCCUUGCCCCUCUUCUGUUUGUACCAAAAAAUGCAUAAAUGUUUUGCAUUAUAAUACUCUAGCAAAACACCUUAAGAAGUAAAGGUGUGAUUUAGAUCACAAGGUAGUAGUAGGAGACACUAUGGAGCGUAAAACCAAGAUGGACCUGAUUGAUCUGUUUUUGGUCCUGUAAAAUUCUGUGGAAUUCUAGGCGUAUUUGCUUGCAUGUAAAAGAAAUUUAACCAAAUUGUAUGGUAGUUGAUUGAUCUGAUGCCCAUUAUUGUAUUAAUUCAUAACCCAAAAUUACUUCAGUGCUGCUUCUGUUACCAUUUUAUCGGCAUUCACAUUUGCUUAUAUAGACUUAAGCAAUUAAUAACUGGUAGAAGAAUACAAUGCACCUUAAAGUAAUUAAUAUUACAGUAGAUCAUUUAGUAUUUCACUGCUAGGGUAAAAUAGUAGAUUUUAUUGCAAAGAAUGUAUUAGGUACAGUUUAAAAAAAACAGAAUACAGAAUAAGAAUUUAAAUACUCAUGAAGCAUAGUAAAGUUUACGUGAAUGCAGGAGAAAUCUUAAAUAAAAAAAUUAGUUUGUGGCAGUAUACUUCAGAUUUCUCAAUAUUAUAACAAGGUAGCACUCAAUCAUUGUUGGUAGUGAGAAAUACAGUAUUAAAGGUAAUAAUUCCAGUCUCUAUUAAGUUUCGAUGAAGGAACAAUCCUUUAAUGUUUCAUUAAAUGCUUAUGAGCAUACAUUAAUAUAUGACGUAAAGCUUAUUAUUGUUAUGUAAAGUGUUUUAAAGAAGUCAGUCUUUCUUACCUUUAAUUCCACUUAAGAUGCCCAUCCAAGGAGUCUUCUUGUAGCUUAGAUCCUUAUAGAUUAUGUUCAAAGCUUUUGGAUCAACUCCAGAUGUGCUAGAUGUUAAACCUAAAAUACCAAAGCUGGCAAGCAUGUUCUACUUGGUCUAAUCAUUCUUUUGAAGAGUAAUAAAUCAUUAAAACUAGAAAUGACCCACUUAAGAUACAAAAUAAAAAUUAUUCUGCUUUUAACAUUUUCAGUUAUAGCCUUCUAUAGUAUAUUUGUCUUAUAUGCUCUGCUGAAAGGCAGAUCCUUGGUUCAUAGUCGGCUAAUGCUUCAUUCUCAGCUAUUUUCCUGGAACGUUUUGUUGCUGGUGGCGUGUCAUUUUUCAUUCUCAGAGGUAAGGUGAGAAGGCAGAUCCCAAGACCACCUCAUUUGGAAUGGGAGUCAAAUCCAUGCUGUUGGCGUUUUAAUAAACCAUUCAUUAGCCAUUUGAGCUGAUUGGCUUCCAUGCUUUAUGUAUAUAUUGCUGAUAGUGAAGGGAUAUUCUUAACCAGUACAUCCAUUGCAGUUUACCUUGGAAUUUGCAAACGAUUAAAAUAUUGUUACAAAAUAGGUAAUCCAAAUUCUUGAAUAUUUUGAAGCAUGUUGCGAAGUCUUGCCAUUUUACAUUAUUUAUGGUUAAAAUUUCUUGAUGUGAUUGUGAAAAACCUCUAUGUUAUUAAACAUCUUGCCUAAUGUUUUGGCAAAAAGAAGAAUAUGUUCUGAGAUUCUUAAAAUAUUUGUCCCACAAUAUCUCAACAUUUCCUUGUA